rnacentral:misc_RNA from 1 species
CCGAGUUAGGGUGCUUCUCAGCGCCCGACCUCCCAACCCUUUGUCUAUGAUACCUUACAGUUGCUUCGGCGUGCCGAGGAGCUCGCUUCUCGCCUGGGACCCGUGCCCGGGAGCGCGCCCGCCGAUGGCCUCAACUUAACACUUGAACCCAAACCCUGUCGUCUGAAAACUUGUGAUUACUAUAAUCAAAAACA